rfam:Gossypium hirsutum cultivar TM-1 chromosome 11, whole genome shotgun sequence
AAACCAUGCAUCGGGCAUUUCUUAGUACCUCCUUGAAUCGCUCUCAUUCUUCAUAUAAUGUUUCAUCCUCUAAUUGUUUAAACUAUGUAAUGUCGUUCCUCAACUU